CUGCUCUGAGCUGCUCUAUGGAGUGGCCUAUGUGGCAGGAACUGAAGAUAAUCUUCAAUGCCAGCCAGCAAAAAACGGAGGUCCUCAGUCCAACAUCCCACAAGGAAAUGAAUUCUGCCAACAACCGUGUGAAUGAGACUGCAGUCUUGGUCAGAAAUGCGAUUGCAGCUUUCAGAAGAGACUCUGGAAUAGAGGACCCAACAAACGGAUGCCUGGACUCCUGACCCAAACCCACAGUAAUGGAAUCAGGACGUGCUUGCCCCUGAAGGUUAAAGCUGAUGUUUGCCCCCCAAGGAAACCUCUUUCCAUCAAAGCAUCUCUCACCAUCAUCCCUGGCCUACAGAGGGCAUCCGCUUUUCAAGAAUGCCAACUCCUCUCUCACCAAUGUGUGUUUUUUCUGAAGGUUUUGCUUCCCAAGGAAUGGCCUUACUGUUCAAAUUCAGAUGCACUAGGCAAGUUCAGAAGACAAGAGUGAAGAUGAGACGCCAACAGCCUCACACUGAGGACGAUUCUUUCUCCAGCUCCCCACUGCACAAGCAAGCUUGGUAUUCAUCAAUAUGACAUGGUCUGGAAGUUUUCCUGUAUAUUCAUCAGCUUGGGUUACUAAACAAAGUACAAAAUACUUAGUGGCUUUAGCAACAUAAAUUUACUUUCUCAGA
rnacentral:lncRNA from 1 species